GCUGCGUGUCCUCGCAGAAGGGGAGGAGGCGUACGACCUGCACAUGCUCGACGAGAAGCUCGUCCACCCCAUGCAAGGGGAGGAUGCAUCGCCAGCAACCUCCAGUUCGUCGUCUUCCCCAACAACAAGAGCGAGAACCCAGGCAAGACGCUCAGGUAAGAGGAGAAAGGUCCGUGGCGUGUUAGAUCUUGCAGGUGGUUGUGAACAUCAACUCCAAGGAGUUUUUCUUGGCAAGUACAUGGACAUUCUCUGCAAGAAUAGGUGAGUUAUGUAAUCUAUUUUGUUACUAUUUGCUUCAGUUAGUGGCUCUUAGAUGGUAAAAAACAUGUUACGACAAUUAUGAAAUAUGCUAAAAUGGAAUAUGGUUCCUGUCCUGGGACGGUUCCUGGGACGGUGGAUAUGAUUCAUGUUUUGAAAUGCUUAUUGCUACUGCUGUUACACUGCCCUUUAUUACUGUGCUCUUGAAACAUGCAUUCCUAAUAAGCUCGUGGUACUCAUUCACAUGCCAUGCUCAUUCAGUUAACGAAACAGAUAAAAAAACGGAAGGGACAUUGAUAGACUGGUAGCUUUAAUAGGUUAUUGUACAUAUCUGACUUUAGCUAUUGAGUACUAAUGAGCUCCACCAAAUCAUUUGGUCUGGUUGGCAUCUUCCAUGUCUGGUGAGUAUCAUCUAUUUUUCGUCAUACUAACCUUGAUUUUGUAUCUGGCAAUUCAAAACAAAAGAUGGUUCUGAGCUGAAGGAGUAUUGUACGAAUUUAACUAAAGAAGAUUGCAGACACCAAUCUCGGUCCUUUGUUUUCUGUGCUAUAAGGAGCUCCGGGCCUUAAGAAAAUUGAAGCGUGAAGCUGUGAAGUCUCACUCGUCCAAGAUUACUAUAUAGGCAUUUCCUGAAACUUGAAUGGUUUUGAUUGUUGGAUUGACCGGUUAAGCAUAUACUUGUGGACUAAUUUUCCUCAUGGUUGUUGUCAUGCAGGAUGGAUGGAAGAGCAUACGAUGGAGGAUUGUUCUUGGACCGGUGGUAGUUGGCAGGUUACCAUGGCAUUGGUGCCAUGCAGCAGCAAGAAGUGUACCUGGCAGUAUAUAUGCCUGGAGGUUGGGUGCUGAGUCCGGCCAGAAGGACAUCCUUGAUUUUAUUCAUUAUUCGAUUGAUAAUGGAUGUUGCUGCUGUAGGGUGGGUUUACAAUCUGAGCUAGCUUCAUUGUGUCGUUCUUGUAUAUGCGGUUGAACUGUGGGUUACUUAAUUCUCUUUCAAAAGAAUUUCAU